GUCGGUAAAACUCGUGCCAGCCACCGCGGUUAUACGAGAGACCCAAAUUGAUGGAUUUCGGCGUAAAGUGUGGUUAAGGUUUAAUAUAAGUAGAGUUAAAUACAUUCUAAGCUGUUGUACGCACUCGAAUGCAAGAAGAUCAACUACGAAGGUGCCUCUAUCAUACCCGAUUCCACGAAAGCUAGGAUACAAACUGGGAUUAGAUACCCCACUAUG
rnacentral:rRNA from 1 species